GGCGUCGAAGACUACGAUGAACCAGGAGCUAAUCAUAAGCAUGAUCCACCCCAUCCUCCUUCGGAAAACAAGAGGACUUUGUUUUAUGCAGACUAUGGCGAACCCCAUCCACCCGAUUCUAGUCAUCCAGAGAAUGAAAGGACUUUGUUUAGCUUGGACCACGAAAGCGCCCAUACUCGUCCGCAUCCUCCACCCCCUCAUUUAGUCCGAUGAAUGUGCCCGCUUCGCUUUGGAGGAAUUAAGUAAUGAAGGGAGGACAACGAAUAACGAUCCCCUUCCUCGGGUGGCGGCAUCGACUAGAAAGACUAA